GAUGACCACCGCCACAACAAACGCUUACUUUGCUCAAGGUGCGCAAUCUUCGAAUACGCACCCGCACUCAAGUACACAAACUCGCACGCGCUAGAAAAGUGCGAGGCGGAUCCAACUCUCCGCUAUACCGCAUCCAGCGGAACUGAAUAGCAACAUCCGUUCUCUAAAGCGUGGCCGAUUCUCAACCCCUACCCAGGCGACAGUAGUGCCGUUUACGCGUUUUCUGCAUUGUCUCUGAAGCCACUACACACGGAGCCGGAAGGGGGUCAGGGCACUGACUUCUAGUGCACGCGACACGCGAUCAAUGCUCGACUCAGGCUCCUCCAGCGCCGAAGGCGGCGCGAAGCGGUUCAGCCGCCAGCAGAUCAUUCAGCACGUCAAAAAAAGCUUGCUCUACACGGCGUUCGACGUCAGGUGGGUGCCGCAGACGGCGUCCUUCGCGGUGGUCGGACAGUACCCAAACAACCACGGUGCGCUCUCCGUUUAUCAGCUGCACCACGGCGAUGUGCAGCCGACGGUCGAGGUGCGGCUUCCUCAUCCGCUGAAAUGCUGCACGUUUGGGCAUAACGUAUCUUUUAGCAGCAGUGGAGGGAACACCAGCAACAUCACUGCCGCCAGUGCGACGACGAAUCAGAUCGCGACUGGCGACUUUGCCGGCAGCUUGCAGAUUUUCGACCUGAGCCGCCUCGGCUCGACCCCCUCAAGAGCGCCCAACGCACUGAGCGACGUGACAGCGGCUUCUGUGCUUCACAUACCCCAUGCACACGAGAGCAUCAUCAACGCCAUCGACGGCGCGCGUUACUCGGGGCCGCCGGAGGUGGCGACAGGGAGCCGCGACGGCUCCGUCAAGGUGUGGGACACUCGCCAGUCUAACAAGCCGGUUGUGUCGCUCAACCCUGUCGACCCUGCUCGCGCCCGCGACUGUUGGACAGUACGACUCGGAAACAGCUUCGACCCGGACGAGCGUGUGGUCGCUGCGGGCUACGACAACGGUGACGUCAAAAUAUUCGACCUUCGCACGCAGAAGAUGCUGCACGAGAUGCACGUGAACAACGGCGUGUGCGAUUUGGAGUUUGAUCGGCCCGACAUUCCCAUGAACAAGCUCCUCGUAUCGUCUCUGGAGGGUCGCGUGCGGUGCUACGACAUGCGCACCUUGCAUCCCAAGCUCGGCUACGCGUACGUGGAGGAGCGCGUAUCCGAGGGGACGGUGUGGUGCUCUCGCGCGCUGCCACAGAACCGAGAGAUCUUCUUGAGCGGUGGCGGUGGCGAGCUGACGCUGUGUCUCUACAAGUACCCGCCAGAGCGCACUCUGAAAGACGGGGAUGGGCUUCAGCGCGGCGUGGCGGGCGCAGUGGAGCAGCUGAACAAGGCGAAGAUCGGCGAUCAGCCUAUCAACGCGAUGGACUGGAAUCGCUCAAAGGAGGGUCUCGCUGUGUGCGCCUCUUUCGACCAGAGCAUUCGGGUCAUGCUGGUCACUAAGCUCAGUCUACUUUCGUAGCGACAGGGCGAGUAGGGGGUGGGGAGGGACGGGCGGAAAGACUUCGCACCACCAGAAUGCGCACACGCCUGCAUAGGCGCGCUGCGCGCUCUUUUCCUGACUUGUUCCUCAUCGACAAGGGCCUACAAACUGCGUAUGUGUUGUGCGACUGCGGCCUUGUUUGCCCCCCUACCUCCCUCACCACUGACAUAUCUGUCUCCGUUUGCAUGCUUCGCGAUGGCGCCCACUCAUGGUGGUUACACGACCCCCCUUUUCUUCCUCUCGUCUCUCAUCGUUGUGCAUCACUUGUCUCAUCUGCGUCGGUGCGUGCGGUUGCAGCGUGCGCGGCGGCGGAUCGAAGGCAACGUGAACACGUGGGCGCCCACUGUGCAAUCAGACACACACGCACACACACACAUCCGUCCAUAGUGGGAUGCUGUUGUUGCUCGCCGUCAUGUGCCUGUGCCGUUUGAGGAGUUCUUGUUUAUAGAGGGCGGCUGCUGGGUCGGUGGUGCCUUUCUCGUGCCUGUGUGCGCGCGUAUGAGCGAUGACUGCAGUGGGCUGUGUGCAUGCCGCUCCCCGUCCUCUCCCGUCUUCACUGCUCCUUUGCUUGCCUGUGGCUUCGCCUCCCCCGUGCGUGUGUCGUGCACAACACCGCAGACGGGAGCCGACCGUGCCCAAUGUUGUACAUUGGGCACUUAUACCGAACCACCGAGCAGCAGCGGCGGCAGUGGAAAGGAAUACAAACGAACACUCAUGCGCACACCAACGGAAAGAGUACCCGACAAGUACAACAUCGCUGGCAUCCGCGUAGACGUGAAGCAGAGGAGAAGGCCAAGCCGGGGGUGGAGGCGAGCCUCACACCAUGUGCAGGCCUACGCGAAUUUGACCUUUUUGUUUCAUGGAAGCAACGAAGGAAAAAGCGACGCCACUCUGCGUGCGGCUGUGGGCCGAUGUAUGAUUUUCGUCUCUUUGUAUGUCCCUCACCAUGCCACGUCCCGACUUCCCUGCAUCUUGUGGCGCUGUGCGGGGGGGGGCUACACGAUAUCGCCUCCGGCGACUGUCGUCUGUGCACGCAUGCAGGCACUUUCGACGCCGAGGCAGUGGCGGUGAACUAUUCUCACGCUUGGACGCCCCAUUCUUGUCUCUGCCGCGCGCUCUACGCUGAUGCGGACGCUCACACGCGCGUCCACGUUCGCAG
rnacentral:misc_RNA from 1 species